ACAGGCUUAACACAUGCAAGUCGAGGGGCAUCAGUUUGGUUUGCUUGCAAACCAAAGCUGGCGACCGGCGCACGGGUGAGUAACACGUAUCCAACCUGCCUCAUACUCGGGGAUAGCCUUUCGAAAGAAAGAUUAAUAUCCGAUAGCAUAUAUUUCCCGCAUGGGUUUUAUAUUAAAGAAAUUCGGUAUGAGAUGGGGAUGCGUUCCAUUAGUUUGUUGGGGGGGUAACGGCCCACCAAGACUACGAUGGAUAGGGGUUCUGAGAGGAAGGUCCCCCACAUUGGAACUGAGACACGGUCCAAACUCCUACGGGAGGCAGCAGUGAGGAAUAUUGGUCAAUGGACGCGAGUCUGAACCAGCCA
rnacentral:rRNA from 1 species